rnacentral:rRNA from 1 species
CCUACGGGAGGCAGCAGUGAGGAAUAUUGGUCAAUGGACGAGAGUCUGAACCAGCCAAGUAGCGUGCAGGAUGACGGCCCUAUGGGUUGUAAACUGCUUUUAUAAGGGAAUAAAGUGAGAGUCGUGACUCUUUUUGCAUGUACCUUAUGAAUAAGGACCGGCUAAUUCCGUGCCAGCAGC